CGGUCUUUACCCGCUUGCUUAUACCGUUGAAAACCACGGUACAAUUUAGUCAGGCUGAAAUCCCUCGCUCUCUCCUUCCUCUCCAGACGCACUCUCGGUCUCCAGACGUUCUCUCUUCCUCUCCAGACGCACUCUUGCUCUCUCGUCUGAAUCCCAGAUCCGCCCUCCCUCUGUUCUUGGAAAAUAUUAUUCUUCUUCCCAGAUAUAGCUCCUCGCGAGCAUGUCAGCCUCAGACGUUUGGAUUGCUGUGGCCCGAUCUCAACGACAGAUUGUUCUACAACGACGUCGUUCGAGCCUCCAAUUCCGAACUGACACUGAUCGAGUUCUACUCUAGCAAGUACAAUAAUUCAGCUCCAUUGCAAGGGUAAUCAGCUUAUACCAAAUUGCAUUCCAACAAUUUAAAUUAAUUUGAUUUAUUUACUGAUUUAUUUUUGCACUUUAAGCAAUAAAAAAAUGUUUAAUUUGAAGAACAGAUGAAAACUUUGUACUGAUAAUUGAGCAGUUUCUUCGUGAACCUUUUUUGUUAAAAUUUUUGUUCUCCCCUUUUCUUAUCCGGUUCAGUACCAAACAUAGUAUAAAUAAUACGGUUAUUAGUCUGAUAUUGCACCAAACGCUCGACUAAUUUAGUCAGUACUAUCCGGUGACUAUUUUUUCUAUCCCACAAAAAUAGUCAGUACAGUCCGAGCUACCAAACCUAAAUAUUUUCCCAAACCCCCCUCAGCCUAUAAAUAAGUCACGUUGCGCCUCAAACCCUACGCUUUCAUUUCUCACUGCCUCUGCCGCUCUCGCUUGAACCAAGAGUUCGAGCUUCCAGAUCUGAGAGAUUAAGAAUAUAUAUGCAGAGACGAAGCUAGGAUUUCAAACGUAUACUGGGCUGAGCUGAACUUAUCUUUCGUCCUAACUUUGUUAGCCAAGAUUUCUUUUGUUGAAUAUAGUUAUCGUGUUUCAAAAUUUGAUGAGAGUACUAAUGCUUCAGAAAUUACUAUGCAUUAGAAAUUUACUACAGCCCAUGCAUCAGAAAUUACUAAGAAAUUACAUACCAAAUUCAAAACCUCUCAAAAUGUCUAUCCUUAUUCAUAGUUUCUCCUUCCUUUUUACAAUGUCUUUUUCAAGGAUGUUGUGAGAAAUUGAUGAGCAAGAGAAAGAAUGGUUUAAGUAAGGAGAAAAAAAUGUUCAAUCUCCAGGAAUGAGAAAAUGGGAAGGAAUGAGGAUGAGAAGUGUAGAAGGAGAGAUGACGAAGCAAGAAGCUAAAGAGCCUUACAUUCUUGUUGAGUCAUCCAAGCUGUGGUUGAGAUCUCUAGGCUCAGGUGUUCCGCAAACAUUGAUAGAAGCAAGGAUCUCUUGGACGAUUAUUUUGUCUAUAACAAUGCUUUCCUUAUCUAUAAAAUUAAAUUUGUGUCAGCACAUGCGAUCAGUAAUUGGAUAGAGUAAGUGAGUGAUUUUGGGUUGCUUUAAUUUUAUUACUAUUGUUAUUUGUAGAAGUUAACCGAGUUUUGUUUUUUUUUUUUUUUUUUUUUUUUUCUGUGGCAAGGGUAUGGGGAGGGGAAUGAGUGACCCAUUGGUGGCUCUAGGCCACCCUCUCAUUGAGCUGAUGGUGGGUUUCUAUACACAGAAGGUUACUUCUAAAACCAAAUGGUUAGCUUCAUUGGCUUUCAAAGGAGCACAAAGAGUUACAGUUCUCCCAAUUUUUGCUCGGUCAAUUGAAGGUAUGAGAAGCUUUAUGGUUAAUGGUGCACUGUUUCAUAUAUAUUUGACAAGAAAGGAAGACUUGGAGAAUUUCGUAGUAAUUAAGCACCCAACCACACCAAUAGUUGUCUUUUGAAGUAUCACACGUGUUCUUGAUUACUACGAAAUUCUCCAAGUCUUUUUUUUCUUGUCAAAUAUAUGAAACAGUCUACCAUUAACCAUAAAGCUUCUCAUACCUUCAAUUGACCAAGCAAAAAUUGGGAGAACUGUGACUCUUUGUGCUCAUUUGAAAGCCAGCUACCCAUUUGGUUUUAAAAGUACCCUUUUGUGUAUAGAAAUCCCCCAUCAGCUCAAUGAGAGGGUGGUCUAUAGCCACCAAUGGGUCACUUAUUCCCUUCCCCAUGCCCUUGCCACAAAAAAAAAAAAAAAAAAAAAGAACAAACCUCGGUUAACUUCUACAAAUACCAAUAGUAAUGAAAUUAAAGCAACUCAAAAUCACUCACUUACUCUGCCCAAUUCCUGAUUGCAUGUGCUGGCACAGAUUUAAUUUUAUAGAUAAGGAACAUGCUCUGUUCUUGCAAUUUUGUGAGCAUGGUAUGCCCAAUGUAGGUUGAGGAUAUUUGAUUAAACAAACAAUUCAAUCUCAUGCUUAAAUGUCGAACCAAUAGCACCCUUCUUGCACAAGCGUCCAAUAGUGCUACUGUUAGAAGGGCAGUAAAUGCCACAGUGAAAUUGACAUUAUCUUUAACCAUCAGUUCCAAAACGCCACUUGCGGCUUUAGACCCAUAACCAUUUAUAAUGAUGGGUUGAAAUGAGUUGUGUUCACAUUGGUGGCAAGUUAGAUGGAAAGUAAUGAUGUUGUGUUGAAACGGUUGGAAUCCAUUUGGUUCAGCAGGGCACACUCGUGUUUAAUUAGUUGCUAAUAUCUAAUUAUACUUUGCUAGUGUGUAAUAAGCUGUUAAAAGGAAACGGUUGAGGGAUUAGCACUCAUUGUCGUUGGGCUUGACUUGUAUUCAUAUAUGGAAGGAUGAUGAUUUCCCCUCACCAAAUACUUGUGAUGACUCGUAGAUAAUCCUAGUACAUGGAAUAUUAUUAAGGCUAAAAUUACUUUCUAAUGCAAUGCAUCGACUUCCUCGUGCAUGAUUUUUAUCACUAUAAUUCAUGUAUGUAACUGCUACUUUGUCUGCAUCAGAAUUGUUGCCUUAGAAUUUGUGUAAUUGCCUCAAUACUUUACAGACUGGCAAAAAGCUUCAGGUGUGCCUACCAUACGAGCCUUGGCAUUCCCUUCACCCUCCCCCCCCGGGGACAUGAGUUUUCUUAUUCCUAGUUCUCUUAUGUUUCCUAAUUUUAGUUGCUUAUACAUGUUUCCCAUAUAUACCAAGCUUUUUGGCUUUGUCAUUCUUGUCGUCUCCCAUUGUUUUUAUUUGUAUUCGACAUCAAAAUAGAACUGCAAUGUGAAAACAGAUAGUGAGGCAGAAGAACAAGCAAAGGUUCCAGAUUGUUACCGACCUGUGUUUGAUAGAAUUCAAAGAAGAUACUCUUCAGCGUCUACUUAUGAUGUGCCCAAAGAUAGCGAGGCAGAAGAACAGGCAAAGGUUCCAUAUUGUUACCGAUCUUUGCUUGAUAUAGUUCAAAGAAGAUACUCUUCAGCGUCUACUUAUGAUGUGCCCAAAGAUAGCAAGGCAGAAGAACAACCAAAGGUUCAAGACUCUCGCCAAGUUGUGGUUGAUGAAAUUCAAAAAGGAUCGUGUUCACCGUUGACUCAUUAUGAGUGUCGCCCUGCGGACAACUUCGCGCAUUGGCUGGCUAUAGUGGAAGAAUUCAAUGAACGAAAGGCUGCUGGCUCUGGGACUAAACUCACACCUGAAGAAGAAGCAAAACUUAGAUAUGGUCCUUGUGAAUGUUGUGGAAAGGAGAAAGACCACGCGACUAAAAACUGCCCUCUGAAGACUAUUAGGUUUUAAUAGAUAGAAUGCAGUGGAGACAAAUGCAUUUGUAAUUUCUAAGUUAUGUCAGUCUUUUAGAACAAGAAGCCUUAUUAUUAAAUAAGGCCUAAAACCUAUCACUGUUUCAUAUAAUGCACUAUUAGGUUCAUAUGCUUCACAUGGGAUGAGCAAAGAGGCGUAUCAGCUUUUUUUUAGGUUUUAAUAGAUAGAAUGCAGUGGAGACAAAUGCAUUUGUAAUUUCUAAGUUAUGUCAGUCUUUUAGAACAAGAAGCCUUAUUAUUACAUAAGGCCUAAAACCUAUCACUGUUUCAUAUAAUGCACUAUUAGGUUCAUAUGCUUCACAUGGGAUGAGCAAAGAGGCGUAUCAGCUUUUUUUUUGUUCGGUCCAGGUACCAGGCAGUGUCCCCACACCCGUAGGAUGGGACUAAUCUACGCUCGAGGUGUGGCUUGCCUCUGGCCACAAAGUGUUUUCAGUGAGUUUCAAACCCCUGCCAGUUAGGCACCAAGGAAUCCGCCCACUGAUGAUUUGAUUUGCCAAUCGCGCCACACCUUGUGGUUAAAGGCGUAUCAGUUUUUAAUGAGAUUAAGAAAAGUAGUUUCCGGCCUGAUGUUUUGUCUUAUACAUCCCUACUCAAUGCUUUUGUAUCAAUAUGCACGCUUUUAGCAGCUUGAUCACUGAUACAGCAUUACCUUACAUAAGAUGGAACCGUGCAUUUCAAACAUUUCCCAAACAUUAAUGUUUGAUGAAUAACUUUUCUUGGCAUCA